rnacentral:pre_miRNA from 1 species
UGGACAAAUUAUUGUAUUCGACUGUAUUCGCGGAGUUAAAUAGGGGAUUACACUAUUUUUAAAAUGGAAAGUGAAUCAACUAACAUAAUAGACUCCU